GGGUUGUGAGGUUAAGCGACUAAGCGUACACGGUGGAUGCCCUGGCAGUCAGAGGCGAUGAAGGACGUGCUAAUCUGCGAUAAGCGUCGGUAAGGUGAUAUGAACCGUUAUAACCGGCGAUUUCCGAAUGGGGAAACCCAGUGUGUUUCGACACACUAUCAUUAACUGAAUCCAUAGGUUAAUGAGGCGAACCGGGGGAACUGAAACAUCUAAGUACCCCGAGGAAAAGAAAUCAACCGAGAUUCCCCCAGUAGCGGCGAGCGAACGGGGAGCAGCCCAGAGUCUGAAUCAGUGUGUGUGUUAGUGGAAGCGUCUGGAAAGGCGCGCGAUACAGGGUGACAGCCCCGUACACAAAAAUGCACAUACUGUGAGCUCGAUGAGUAGGGCGGGACACGUGGUAUCCUGUCUGAAUAUGGGGGGACCAUCCUCCAAGGCUAAAUACUCCUGACUGACCGAUAGUGAACCAGUACCGUGAGGGAAAGGCGAAAAGAACCCCGGCGAGGGGAGUGAAAAAGAACCUGAAACCGUGUACGUACAAGCAGUGGGAGCACGCUUAGGCGUGUGACUGCGUACCUUUUGUAUAAUGGGUCAGCGACUUAUAUUCUGUAGCAAGGUUAACCGAAUAGGGGAGCCGAAGGGAAACCGAGUCUUAACUGGGCGUUAAGUUGCAGGGUAUAGACCCGAAACCCGGUGAUCUAGCCAUGGGCAGGUUGAAGGUUGGGUAACACUAACUGGAGGACCGAACCGACUAAUGUUGAAAAAUUAGCGGAUGACUUGUGGCUGGGGGUGAAAGGCCAAUCAAACCGGGAGAUAGCUGGUUCUCCCCGAAAGCUAUUUAGGUAGCGCCUCGUGAACUCAUCUCCGGGGGUAGAGCACUGUUUCGGCAAGGGGGUCAUCCCGACUUACCAACCCGAUGCAAACUGCGAAUACCGGAGAAUGUUAUCACGGGAGACACACGGCGGGUGCUAACGUCCGUCGUGAAGAGGGAAACAACCCAGACCGCCAGCUAAGGUCCCAAAGUCAUGGUUAAGUGGGAAACGAUGUGGGAAGGCCCAGACAGCCAGGAUGUUGGCUUAGAAGCAGCCAUCAUUUAAAGAAAGCGUAAUAGCUCACUGGUCGAGUCGGCCUGCGCGGAAGAUGUAACGGGGCUAAACCAUGCACCGAAGCUGCGGCAGCGACGCUUAUGCGUUGUUGGGUAGGGGAGCGUUCUGUAAGCCUGCGAAGGUGUGCUGUGAGGCAUGCUGGAGGUAUCAGAAGUGCGAAUGCUGACAUAAGUAACGAUAAAGCGGGUGAAAAGCCCGCUCGCCGGAAGACCAAGGGUUCCUGUCCAACGUUAAUCGGGGCAGGGUGAGUCGACCCCUAAGGCGAGGCCGAAAGGCGUAGUCGAUGGGAAACAGGUUAAUAUUCCUGUACUUGGUGUUACUGCGAAGGGGGGACGGAGAAGGCUAUGUUGGCCGGGCGACGGUUGUCCCGGUUUAAGCGUGUAGGCUGGUUUUCCAGGCAAAUCCGGAAAAUCAAGGCUGAGGCGUGAUGACGAGGCACUACGGUGCUGAAGCAACAAAUGCCCUGCUUCCAGGAAAAGCCUCUAAGCAUCAGGUAACAUCAAAUCGUACCCCAAACCGACACAGGUGGUCAGGUAGAGAAUACCAAGGCGCUUGAGAGAACUCGGGUGAAGGAACUAGGCAAAAUGGUGCCGUAACUUCGGGAGAAGGCACGCUGAUAUGUAGGUGAAGCGACUUGCUCGUGGAGCUGAAAUCAGUCGAAGAUACCAGCUGGCUGCAACUGUUUAUUAAAAACACAGCACUGUGCAAACACGAAAGUGGACGUAUACGGUGUGACGCCUGCCCGGUGCCGGAAGGUUAAUUGAUGGGGUCAGCGCAAGCGAAGCUCUUGAUCGAAGCCCCGGUAAACGGCGGCCGUAACUAUAACGGUCCUAAGGUAGCGAAAUUCCUUGUCGGGUAAGUUCCGACCUGCACGAAUGGCGUAAUGAUGGCCAGGCUGUCUCCACCCGAGACUCAGUGAAAUUGAACUCGCUGUGAAGAUGCAGUGUACCCGCGGCAAGACGGAAAGACCCCGUGAACCUUUACUAUAGCUUGACACUGAACAUUGAGCCUUGAUGUGUAGGAUAGGUGGGAGGCUUUGAAGUGUGGACGCCAGUCUGCAUGGAGCCGACCUUGAAAUACCACCCUUUAAUGUUUGAUGUUCUAACGUUGGCCCCUAAUCGGGGUUGCGGACAGUGUCUGGUGGGUAGUUUGACUGGGGCGGUCUCCUCCUAAAGAGUAACGGAGGAGCACGAAGGUUGGCUAAUCCUGGUCGGACAUCAGGAGGUUAGUGCAAUGGCAUAAGCCAGCUUGACUGCGAGCGUGACGGCGCGAGCAGGUGCGAAAGCAGGUCAUAGUGAUCCGGUGGUUCUGAAUGGAAGGGCCAUCGCUCAACGGAUAAAAGGUACUCCGGGGAUAACAGGCUGAUACCGCCCAAGAGUUCAUAUCGACGGCGGUGUUUGGCACCUCGAUGUCGGCUCAUCACAUCCUGGGGCUGAAGUAGGUCCCAAGGGUAUGGCUGUUCGCCAUUUAAAGUGGUACGCGAGCUGGGUUUAGAACGUCGUGAGACAGUUCGGUCCCUAUCUGCCGUGGGCGCUGGAGAACUGAGGGGGGCUGCUCCUAGUACGAGAGGACCGGAGUGGACGCAUCACUGGUGUUCGGGUUGUCAUGCCAAUGGCACUGCCCGGUAGCUAAAUGCGGAAGAGAUAAGUGCUGAAAGCAUCUAAGCACGAAACUUGCCCCGAGAUGAGUUCUCCCUGACUCCUUGAGAGUCCUGAAGGAACGUUGAAGACGACGACGUUGAUAGGCCGGGUGUGUAAGCGCAGCGAUGCGUUGAGCUAACCGGUACUAAUGAACCGUGAGGCUUAACCUUACAACGCCGAAG
rnacentral:rRNA from 1 species